rnacentral:rRNA from 1 species
AUUGAACGCUGGCGGCAUGCCUUACACAUGCAAGUCGAGCGGCAGCGCGGGGGCAACCCUGGCGGCGAGCGGCGGACGGGUGAGUAAUACAUCGGAACGUGUCCUUUCGUGGGGGAUGACCAGUCGAAAGACUGGCUAAUACCGCAUGAGAUCUCACGAUGAAAGCGGGGGACCGCAAGGCCUCGCGCGAUUGGAGCGGCCGAUGGCGGAUUAGCUAGUUGGCGGGGUAAAAGCCCACCAAGGCGACGAUCCGUAGCCGGUUUGAGAGAAUGACCAGCCACACUGGGACUGAGACACGGCCCAGACUCCUACGGGAGGCAGCAGUGGGGAAUUUUGGACAAUGGGCGCAAGCCUGAUCCAGCCAUGCCGCGUGUGUGAAGAAGGCCUUCGGGUUGUAAAGCACUUUCGGCCGGAACGAAAUCGCGCGGAUUAAUAACCCGCGUGGAUGACGGUACCGGAAGAAGAAGCACCGGCUAACUACGUGCCAGCCGCCGCGGUAA